UUAAAUGAACAGAUUUAAAGGAAAAAAAAAAAUAUGGGCCUUGCUGAGAACCAAGGUUCUGAAAUCCUGUAAGGUCCCCGUGAUGCCUGGCUGGCCUGAUGGUUGAAAUAAAAUGCAUCUCAACAAAAAAAGAAAAACUAGUUUGGAUAAGAUAUAAGCAGAGGGGACCAGCAGCAUUCAGGAUUGUUUACAGAAAGAAUGCUGCCUCUUAGAACUAGAAAGAUACAAAGAUGAGACCAAGGGUGAGAAAUGCAGUCAACGUGAAAUACUGACUUCAGUUUUUACCUAAGAAGUAGGUACACAUAAGAAAAGGGGGCAUGAUCCAGUUGAGAGUGGGAUGCAGCUUGGCAGACAUGAUGUUCAUUCAGGCAAUACAUGUAGGAAAAUAAAGAGUUUUUCUUUUCUGUAGAUUUAAAGAAGGAACCAAGUCCAGGUAUAUGUUCUCUGCAGCCCUGAGAGCAACUAGAGAUAGUGUUUGAUUUUGAAAAAUCAGGCAUUGGGAUCAUGUGUCACUACUACUGUCCAUGAGGAAAAAAUGAGCAUAGAAAAUGGCAUACAUAUAGAGUGGGAAGGAAACUUAAAAACCCAUUCUUCUGCAGAUACUAUCCAGGACUUUGAUGACAGGACUGGCAAAAGUGUUCUGCGGCCAGUAACGCCUUGUCUAUGUCCAUAAUGGACAUCACUCAUUGAGCACAGCCCUUCUCUUUCAGCUUGAACACAGCUUCCAAAUCCUUCUCAGACAUCAUGCCAGUCAACUACUAUCAAGAGACUGGAGUUGAGGCCUGGCUGGUGGUGUUCAGUGGUUAAAGCAUUGGUCCUAACUGAAGGGUCAUGGGUUUG